rnacentral:rRNA from 1 species
GACGAACGCUGGCGGCGUGCCUAAUACAUGCAAGUCGAACGAAGCUGUUUUAACUGGUGCUUGCACCGACUUAAACAACUGAGUGGCGAACGGGUGAGUAACACGUGGGUAACCUGCCCCAAAGCGGGGGAUAACAUUUGGAAACAGAUGCUAAUACCGCAUAAUCACAGAAACCACAUGGUUUCUGUGUCAAAGAUGGUUUCGGCUAUCACUUUGGGAUGGACCCGCGGCGUAUUAGCUAGUUGGUAAGGUAAUGGCUUACCAAGGCAAUGAUGCGUAGCCAAACUGAGAGGUUGAUCGGCCACAUUGGGACUGAGACACGGCCCAAACUCCUACGGGAGGCAGCAGUAGGGAAUCUUCCACAAUGGACGAAAGUCUGAUGGAGCAACGGCGCGUGAGUGAAGAAGGUUUUCGGAUCGUAAAACUCUGUUGUCAGAGAAGAACGUGUGCGAGAGUAACUGUUCGUGCAGUGACGGUAUCUGGCCAGAAAGCCACGGCUAACUACGUGCCAGCCGCCGCCGUAA